UACGGAGGGUGCGAGCGUUAUCCGGAUUCACUGGGUUUAAAGGGUGCGUAGGUGGGUUUGUAAGUCAGUGGUGAAAUCUCCAGGCUUAACCUGGAAACUGCCAUUGAUACUAUAGGUCUUGAAUAUUGUGGAGGUAAGCGGAAUAUGUCAUGUAGCGGUGAAAUGCUUAGAUAUGAUAUAGAACACCGAUAGCGAAGGCAGCUUGCUACACAAUCAUUGACACUGAGGCACGAAAGCGUGGGGAUCAAACAGG
rnacentral:rRNA from 1 species